CUCUGUUGUGAUUUUUGGUGGACAGAAUUGAUUUUGGGAUCAUAAGAAACGAUUGGCUUGCUCUAGGGUAUUAUUAAUUUAAUGGAAGCAGAAUCUGAAACCCCUGUUUCAAC